GAUGAACGCUAGCUACAGGCUUAACACAUGCAAGUCGAGGGGCAGCAUUGGAGUAGCAAUACUUCAGAUGGCGACCGGCGCACGGGUGAGUAACACGUAUCCAACCUGCCGCUUACUCGGGGAUAGCCUUUCGAAAGAAAGAUUAAUACCCGAUGGUAUAAAGAGUUCGCAUGUUCUCUUUAUUAAAGAAUUUCGGUAAGCGAUGGGGAUGCGUUCCAUUAGAUUGUUGGCGGGGUAACGGCCCACCAAGUCUACGAUGGAUAGGGGUUCUGAGAGGAAGGUCCCCCACAUUGGAACUGAGACACGGUCCAAACUCCUACGGGAGGCAGCAGUGAGGAAUAUUGGUCAAUGGACGAGAGUCUGAACCAGCCAAGUAGCGUGAAGGAUGACUGCCCUAUGGGUUGUAAACUUCUUUUAUAAGGGAAUAAAGUGAGGGACGUGUCCCUUUUUGUAUGUACCUUAUGAAUAAGGAUCGGCUAACUCCGUG
rnacentral:rRNA from 1 species